GCCCGGUUAGCUCAGCCGGUAGAGCGUUGGACUUUUAAUCCAACGGUUAAGGCUUGACGUCCCUUAUCGGGCU
rfam:Ciona savignyi cont_31775, whole genome shotgun sequence.